AGUAAAAGUCGUAACAAGGUUUCCGUAGGUGAACCUGCGGAAGGAUCAUUACCACACCUAAAAACUUUCCACGUGAACUGUAUCAAAACAACUAAUUGGGGGUUUAAUUGGCGUCGGCUGCUGACAUCUUUUUGUUGGCGGCUGCUGCUGAGCAAGCCCUAUCAUGGCGAAUAUUCGGACCUUGGUCUGAACUAGUAGCUUUCGUUUUAAACCCAUUCCUAAUUACUGAUUAUACUGUGGGGACGAAAGUCUCUGCUUUUAACUAGAUAGCAACUUUCAGCAGUGGAUGUCUAGGCUCGCACAUCGAUGAAGAACGCUGCGAACUGCGAUACGUAAUGCGAAUUGCAGGAUUCAGUGAGUCAUCGAAAUUUUGAACGCAUAUUGCACCUCCGGGUUAUUCCUGGAGGUAUGCCUGUAUCAGUGUCCGUACAUCAAACUUGGUUUUCUUCUUUCCGUGUAGUCGGGGGAGGAUAUGCCAGAUGUGAAGUGUCUUACGGCUGAUUUUCGGAUCGGCUGUGAGUCCUUUGNAAUGUACAGAACUGACUCUCUUUGUUCGAAAAGCGUGGCAUUGCUGGUUGUAAAGGCUGUUCAUGUGACCAG
rnacentral:rRNA from 1 species